rnacentral:lncRNA from 7 species
AGUGGUUUGCACCUUACGUCGAGGCGGUGUGAACCAUCGAGAGAACUUGGUGAGCGAUCGUGGGCGAGCACACCAUCUCCAUUCUGGUGUAGUUCUCGACCGGGUGGCGUGGGUGACCUACGUGGCGACGAAGCCGUUCUUCGUUCGUGUGCAGCUGGGGAGCCUCUGUCGUGACUCGUGACCAUCCGUUACCGGGGGAAGGGUGCUCUCACUGCGCUGUGAUUGGUGCACCGCCGCCACCAAAUCCCUCCUCAUCGUGUUCCUGGUGAGAUUCAUGUUCCCCCAUCGUAUUUGGGGAUUGCUCCGCGUUCGCUUUG